UGUGUAUAACUCAAUGCGGUAUCCAUUUAUCAAAGUUUUUUUUUUUUUUAAUUUCAUCGAUGUUAAAGUUGUCUUAUAUCUCUAACAUGUAAAUUCUUUUUUAAGAAAUGAGAAAUUUCUAACCGUAAUUUAAUUAAAAUAAGAAAUUAUUAAAUGGUCAAAUAUAUAUUAAUGAACAUGAACAUAAAAUACACUUCAAUUAUAUUUUAUGAUGAAUUUUAUUUCUUGUGAGUAGGAUUUUACUUUUCUAACCCAAAUUAAUGGUAAAUUUUUAGAAAAUA
rnacentral:lncRNA from 1 species